rnacentral:rRNA from 1 species
AAUGGCAGCUAGCUCACUGCAACUCUUACAAGGUUGGUCACUGAAACCAAGCAGGAAUGCACCCGGUCAGUACCUGGAUGGGAGACCACAUGAGAAAGCUAGGUUGCUGCCGGAA